UUUAAUUCAAUGCAAAAUAAAAGAUCUUACCAAACUUUGGCAUGCUCUUUAAAUAUGGAUGCCUUGCAAACAUAAACACAUGUGACGCAUGGUUAUUGUUAGCUCAUUUUUGUAAGGUGUUGUGUCAAAUCGUGGAACGAGCGCAACACUCGUAUUUAGUUAUCAUCAUUGAGUUUUGAAGCUGGAACAAACUUCUAGUAAUAAGUCGAAGAACGAUAAGAAUGAUAUCAAGUCAUGUCCCUUAUGUCCUAGACGA
rnacentral:rRNA from 1 species